GGGUAAUGUGCCCUCGGGUAUGGGAUAACUCCGGGAAACCGGAGCUAAUACCGCAUACGUUUUUAGUGUCUGCGGACACAAAGAAGAAAGGUGCACGCAUUUAUGUGUGUGUCGCCCGAGGAUCGGCCCGCCCCCCAUUAGCUUGUUGGUAGGGUCAUGGCCUACCAAAGCUGCGAUGGGUAGCUGGUCUGAGAGGAUGGUCAGCCACACUGGGACUGAGAUACGGCCCAG
rnacentral:rRNA from 1 species